AUUAAAAAAAAAAAAAAGAUUGAAGUUCUCCAUGGGAUGCCAUAGUCACUCAGUACUGCUGUGCUGUCCUGAGGAGAUACAAAG
rnacentral:snoRNA from 1 species